rnacentral:rRNA from 1 species
CGGUAAACAGAGGGAAGCGAAGCGGUGACGUGGAGCGAAUCCCAAAAAUAACGUCCCAGUUCGGAUUGUAGUCUGCAACCCGACUACAUGAAGCUGGAAUCGCUAGUAAUCGCGGAUCAGAAUGCCGCGGUGAAUACGUUCCCGGGUCUUGUACACACCGCCCGUCACACCAUGGGAGCCGGAAAUGCCCGAAGUCAGUGACCCAACCGCAAGGAGGGAGCUGCCGAAGGUGGAGCUGGUAACUGGGGUGAAGUCGUAACAAGGUAGC